UACAGAGGGGGCAAGCGUUAUUCGGAAUUAUUGGGCGUAAAGGGCGCGUAGGCGGCCUGGCAAGUGGAAGGUGAAAUCCCUCGGCUCAACUGAGGAACUGCCCUCCAAACUGCUUUGCUUGAGUCCGGGAGAGGUGAGUGGAAUUCCCAGUGUAGCGGUGAAAUGCGUAGAUAUUGGGAGGAACACCAGUGGCGAAGGCGGCUCACUGGACCGGUACUGACGCUGAGGCGCGAAAGCGUGGGGAGCAAACAGG
rnacentral:rRNA from 1 species